CUCCUUGCUUGCUGGGAGAUAACAGGUUCCCACUGCAGAGGUUGCAGAAGAGACCAUCACUGGAUUCUGGAUAGCAGAUUCGGCAGAUUUCUUGCCAAGGUUGUAUGGUGCUGAAAUCAUCAUCCUACAUGCACAAAUAUAAGGUCUCAAUCAAUAAUCAGUCUUGGUAAUCUUGAUUGAAGUCAUAUUUUGGCAUAGUAAAAAUGAGGCACUGUAAAAUCUUAACAUUAUAAUUGUUAAUAGAAUGUUUUUCCAGCACUAUAGUUACAUCAAUUAAAAGCAUAGAUACUGUAAAAUCUUCUUAACAUUAUAAGUGUUUCGACUACAUGCUCCAAACAUCUCCAAAACAAUAUUGAGUCUUUCAAUGAAUAAAGGAUUAAAAGAUAUGCAAGCAAAAUUAUUUAUUCUACCCAAACUCUACUAAUUUCCACAUAUCAUUCCCUUGUUUACCAUGCAUACUGGGUCAAUAUUUUUUCAUGAGAUUUUAAGGAUCUUUCCAGGAAUUUAUAUAACUUACCUCUCCUUGCGCUUCUCCAAGAACCGAGCCAAUGAUGCCUUACGAGCCUGGGGAACUGCUGCAAAAGAAGUUAGAUACCAUUUAUACAUGGUAAAUGCAGUAAUAAGAAAAAAUUGAUGUGGAUAAAAUGUAUUUCAUGCUUGAUGGAUGGGCUUCAAAAUUGGGAAGUUUUCUCAGAUUACAAAUAAUGCAAAACUGUCUUCCAGAGUACAAGUUCA
rnacentral:lncRNA from 1 species